CUCAGAUUAAAGCCGUCAUGUUCGGAGAAAACCAGUUUCCGUCGAACGGCACAGAAGAGAAGCGACUCCAUCAAGGGAUCCAAACUUUAAAGUCUGUACCAGUAGUCCUCAAGAACAGUUUGCAAAUCUAUCCCUGUUCUCCAUGAAAAACUACAGUGUUCCUGUCAAGAAUCCGAAAUAUUUGAGAAGUUCUUCAAUCAAAACGAUCUGUACCAGAAGUGCAAGAAAA